AAGCGCGGAUGGUCGCGCCCUCGCUUCUCCGGAACUCUGUUACCUCCAACCCGUCCCUUCCCAGUCCCUGUCCCCUCCCCCUUUCCGGACCCCUGGUGACUGUAGUUGCUGCUGCCAGUCUUUCUCUGGCCGUGGCGGAGCGCGGAGCCCGUGGGCGCCCAUGAGGGGUUCAGAUCUACGACCGGACGAGUGUUCUUCACGUGAUGGUCAAAAAAAGGUGAAGUUACUGGCGUGGAGACAGAUAAAGGGCAGAUCGAAUGCCAGUAUUUUGUCAACUGUGCUGGUCAGAGCCCCUGCUGAGUUCUCUCCUGCGUAGGAUGCCAGAGUUGGAGACCCUGGAGAUCGUGAAGUUGGUGAACUGCCCCGAGACCUUCACACCGGACAUGAGGUGCAUCAUGGGCGAGUCCCCUUUGGUGCAGGGCUACUUCGUCCUGGCGGGAAUGAACUCCGCUGGCCUUUCGUUCGGCGGCGGAGCUGGCAAGUAAGUCUUUCUCACUCACGCUAGCUGAGUGGGCUUCUUCCUUUCUGGAAUCACUUGUUAGAAUGGCAUGUAAUGAAUGCAUUUCACCUGGUAUGCUAGUAAGAAGAUACAUGUAAUUUUAGCGCCUUUCAGGAUAAUUACCAGGGAAGGGCUGUCCUGAUACUCCUGAAAUGUCUUGUUCAAAAUGUCAGGGUUGGAACUCCUCCUUUGGAGGUGGCCACGGAGACCUCAGGAGGGGUGUUUCUGUGCACCCUCUCGACUGUAACAGAUGUGGGUCAGUAGUGAAACUGGAAAUUAAAGAUGUAGAUUUAGAAUACAAGGUGAAAUUCUUACAGACAUAUUAAUCCACCCAUGGAUUCCCAGAUGUAGUUCCUCAAAAAAUGGUUGGAUCAAUGGAGUAACAACUCCGGUGCGCUAGUUUGUGGGUGGUAGCUCAGUAUAGGCGACCGCUGGCUGCCUCUCGCCCCAUAGGUGUGGCCAAGAACGCACGCACUCUUGUUUCCCACACCACAGACACUGGCUCACAGGUACGUCGGGAGCAAGUCAAGAACCAG